rnacentral:misc_RNA from 1 species
UAGCGGGAAGCCGUGGUAGUUAUAAAGUCAAAUUUUGUAUAAAUUUAAACUUUUUGAGACAGUGUUAUAGUUUCUAAAAGCCACGUUAUAUAGCAUAUAUAAUAUAGUAUCCAACAGAAAAACGACAUUAAAACAACAAAAUUCCAACAAUAAUUUCACACCAAUUAACUGGCAAAACUUGAUAUUAGUGUUAUCCAUCAUAAUACGUUAUUUAACGACCAUCUUUACUCUAUAAAGAGUUGGUAUUGUCCCUAGGUCAGUCAACAUCUUUAUCUUAUCAGAUCGAAUAAGUAGAGUAAUACUGUUACAGUCAGUACAGUAUACACAUACAGGCAAGACUAAGGAAGAGGUUAGAAGACUGUGGAAAAGGAAAUAUUUAAGGUUACACUAAUAAGCAAGUCUGUGAAUCUCUUCUUGUGGAGUAGAGUUUUUAUCUUAUCAGUUAAAUUGAGUCACUUGAAUGUUUAUUUAACAGACAUUUGACUAAAAAAAUAGCAGUUAAUUUAAAAUAAUCCAUUUGACUGUAGUUUGUGGUAGCUUACUGAUUGCUGGUUUCUAUUGUAUGAGAUUAGGUCAAAUAAUAUUGAUCAGACAUGGUUGUAAAACAUACUGUAGAAGGAUAUGAAGAAUAUUUGAAAUUAUUGAAAGAAUUGGAAGAGAAGAAGGCAAAAGUAUAUAUUUUGUUCACUGGAUCAUUAAAUAAUCAAGGUGUGAGUUGGUGCCCUGACUGUGUCCAAGCUGAACCUGCAAUAGAGGAAGUUGUGAACAAACUUCCAGACACUGUUGUUUUUGUCAAGGUCUUGGUGGGGAACCGUGAAUUCUGGAAAGACAAAGAAUGCCCAUUCCGCAAAGACAAGAAAGUUCAUCUCAGCUCUCUUCCCACAAUUGUCAAAUGGAAUAACCCGGAGCGGUUGGAAGGCAAUGAUUUUGCCAAUAAAGAAAUAAUCGAGAUGGCUUUUGAAGAAGAUUUAUAGCAUUCCUAAGAUAUCUUCUGAAGCAAAAUAAUGAUGUGAUACUGUCAGCUUUCUAUUAUUCAAAUAGUGUUGUUUCCAAACCCAAUGGCAUAAUUCCAGGAAUGGAUUCCUCAUAUGCAGAGAAGAAAGGUUAUUACAACAUGAUCCUGGAAAUGCAUAUAUUAAUAACAAUCUAAGUAUGUGUUAUUCCACUUUUUAAUUACGUAUUAUAGAAUUAAAUACAUAUUUUAAGAGUA